rnacentral:misc_RNA from 1 species
GAUGAAGAACGUAGCGAAAUGCGAUAGGUAAUGUGAAUUGCAGAAUUCCGUGAAUCAUCGAGUCUUUGAACGCACAUUGCGCCCGCUAGUAUUCUGGCGGGCAUGCCUGUCCGAGCGUCAUUUCAACCCUCAAGCCCCCGGGCUUGGUGUUGGGGAUCGGCGAGCCUCCGCGCCCGCCGUCCCCUAAAUCUAGUGGCGGUCUCGCUGUAGCUUCCUCUGCGUAGUAGCACACCUCGCACUGGGAAACAGCGCGGCCACGCCGUUAAACCCCCAACUUCUGAACGUUUGACCUCGGAUCAGGUAGGAAUACCCGCUGAACUUAAGCAUAUCAAUAAGCGGAGGA